CUUUAUUGGUGUUGGGGAGCUUGUGGUGGACUGCAGGACCCGAUUUUUUGAGGUAAACGUAUUAACAGGUGUGACGCAGGAAGGUAGCAGAACCGGGCCGAUGGUUGAGUCCGGGUAAGCCGUAGGGCGUGGGAUAGGCAAAUCCGUCCCACAUACAGCCUGAGAGCUUUGCCGAACCCUAGAGGGAAGUCUGUGAUCCUAUGCUGCCAAGAAAAGCCUCGACGCGAGGUUCUAGCCGCCCGUACCCCAAACCGACUCAGGUGGUCAGGUAGAGAAUACCAAGGAGAUCGAGAGAAUCGUGGUUAAGGAACUCGGCAAAAUGCCCCCGUAACUUCGGGAGAAGGGGGGCCACAACCGGUGAUACCAACAUGCGUGGUUGAGCUGGUUGGGGUCGCAGAAAAGAGAGGGAAGCGACUGUUUAUCAAAAACACAGGUCCAUGCGAAGUCGUAAGACGAUGUAUACGGACUGACUCCUGCCCGGUGCUGGAAGGUUAAGAGGACCGGUUAGUGACUUUUUUGUUGCGAAGCUGAGAAUUUAAGCCCCAGUAAACGGCGGUGGUAACUAUAACCAUCCUAAGGUAGCGAAAUUCCUUGUCGGGUAAGUUCCGACCUGCACGAAUGGCGUAACGACUUCUCCACUGUCUCAACCACGAACUCGGCGAAAUUGCACUACGAGUAAAGAUGCUCGUUACGCGCAGCAUGACGGAAAGACCCCGUGACCUUUACUACAGCUUGGUAUUGGUGUUCGGUGUGGCUUGUGUAGGAUAGGUGGGAGACGGUGAAGCAUGGACGCCAGUUCAUGUGGAGUCAUUGUUGAAAUACCACUCUGGUCACUCUGGACAUCUAACUUCGAACCGUGAUCCGGUUCAGGGACAGUGCCUGGUGGGUAGUUUAACUGGGGCGGUUGCCUCCCAAAAUGUAACGGAGGCGCCCAAAGGUUCCCUCAGCCUGGUUGGCAAUCAGGUGUUGAGUGUAAGUGCACAAGGGAGCUUGACUGUGAGACAGACAUGUCGAGCAGGGACGAAAGUCGGGACUAGUGAUCCGGCAGUGGCUUGUGGAAGCGCUGUCGCUCAACGGAUAAAAGGUACCUCGGGGAUAACAGGCUGAUCUUGCCCAAGAGUCCAUAUCGACGGCAUGGUUUGGCACCUCGAUGUCGGCUCGUCGCAUCCUGGGGCGGA
rnacentral:rRNA from 1 species